rnacentral:tRNA from 1 species
AGCCCUAUCGUAUAGCGGUCAAGUAUAUCGGACUCUGACUCCGAGGACGGCGGUUCGAAUCCGCCUAGGGCUA